rnacentral:misc_RNA from 1 species
AAAAAACCGCACCGCAACUUGUCCAGACCGCACUGCAUCAUAUUGCAUCCAAGUUCUACGGACAGCCAUUCUACGCUUAAAAUUAUUUGCUGUAGAAAAUACACCAAUAAAGAGAUCUAGUCUUUUUCGUGGAGGAAGAGGAGCUGCUUUUAAGGCUUCCAAGUCGCUUAUAUGCUCUGAAUCCUCUGAUGUUGGUAAACCACUUGCGACAACAGAA